UCCGGCAUUCUGAACGCUCCU
rnacentral:miRNA from 1 species